AGGACAGAAUUUCUGAAGGCGGGUGAGGAGGGAACGGCCGACCGGAGCAAACGCUCGGAGCUGUGCGUAGAGGUCAGAAAAGCCUGGCGCACUGGCACGGUGGAGGGGUAGUUGGACCGCAGGAGGGAAAGGCUAGCGCGGGAGACAUUCCGUAGGCAGGGGCGAGCACGUGAGGAGCAGGCGCGGCGCGGCGCGACGGGAAGGGUCACGCUUUUGCCCGGAGCAGGCGGAGGGCACUCGCUGCCCGCGGUGACUCUCCCCUCCACCGGGCAGUGGGGAGUGGCGGCAGAGCGCAGGGUCUGGGGCCGGCUAGACCAGGCUCGCCAUCUGGGCUCCAAUUCACUCCUUAUUUCCUGCGACCUUGUCACUCCCCCUCUGAGCCCUGGACACGUCACCUGUAAAAUGAAGACCGAGAUGCUUGCGCCGCGAAGAGUCGGCCAGAGCUUUCCCGGCGUGGGCAUCAGCCCAAAAGUUUCCUUUCUCCUCUAGACUCUCAUCUCUGUUCUGACCUCAAGCUCGGGGAGGGACCAGGGGAGGGAAGAUGUCCCUGGCGUGCGCCCCAGCUCACGGGCACCGUGCCCCGAACUGUUUUCUUUUUAGAUUCUGAAGAGCGCCUUGAGGCCAGGGAAGGGAGUAGAUCCUACCAGCCCGGGGCAGGGACUCGGACCCCCGGGACCCGCGCUGACGUAGGCGAGCCGGGCGCCACCGGGUGCCCCUUCCCCCUCCCCCCGGCGGGUUGGAGGAUGGGCGGUCAGCCCCAGGCUAGCUAGCGCCUGCCUGGGGCUUCCUAUUUCGGGAGCGGGGUGUGGGCCACGCCCCGUCACGUGAUGCAAGGGCCUUUUAAAGCUGCAGCGCGGGCUGGGAGCCGCAGGUCCCGGAAUCCUUGCACGCGUGCUCUAUCGUCUCUUUCUCAGCCUAGCCCAGCCUCACCAUGGUGGACGCCUUCGUGGGCACCUGGAAGUUAGUGGACAGCAAGAAUUUCGAUGACUACAUGAAGUCAAUCGGUGUGGGUUUUGCUACCAGGCAGGUGGCCAACGUGACCAAGCCUACCACAGUCAUCGAAGUGAACGGGGACACAAUCACCAUAAAAACACAAAGCACCUUUAAGAACACGGAGGUCAGCUUCAAGCUGGGAGUGGAGUUCGAUGAGACAACAGCAGAUGACAGGAAGGUCAAGCUGCUCCCAAGGAGAGGAGAGGGUCUAAUCUCCUCCCUGUGGAGGAAGCUGGAGCCCAGCCCAGGAUCAUACAGGAAGCUGGCAGCAGAGAUGGGAUGGUACCCAAAGAUGGCAGCCUACCUUGGAGAGAGUCCAUUGUGACGCUGGAUGGAGGCAAACUCGUCCACGUGCAGAAGUGGAACGGACAAGAGACAACACUUGUGCGGGAAGUAGUUGCUGGGAAACUCAUCCUGACACUCACCCACUGCAAUGCAGUUUGCACUCGCACUUACGAGAAAGGG